UAUGGUUUUUUCUUUUCUCCCCAGGGUGGAGUCUUGGUGAGGCAAGGUGAUCUGGAAGUCACUUUACUCAGUUCUCCUGCUUACUUUCAAUUUGGUUGAAUGUGAAUAUUAGUAGAAGAGUUUUUCAGAGAACGGGAGCUGAAAAGCAGAGGGACAUCAGAGCUGGCUCCUGCCUUGAGCAGCUCACAAGGUGGAACUCCAGUUUUGGAUCGUGAAUCGUCCUGCUUCAAUCUCCUCUCGGUGCUGGGAUUACUAUGCUCCUGUUCAAGGAGGGGCAGGAGGGACAGAUGAUUAGUGGAGGAGGAACUGAAAAGUUGCAACUGGAAAUUAUUUUUCUCCGGAAGUUUGAUGAGAAAGACACAGCAAGCCCGAAACAUCACAUCUGUGUCCCCCCAUUUCACCCCCACCCUCUAAUCAAGUGCCCGCUUCCCUUCUAGAUCAUAAACCCCAUGAGGCCAGCGUCAGACCUGCUGCUGGGCAGGUUGCUCACCAGCACCCCUCAUGGCAUCUUUGCACUAUAUUCAGGGUGGGACCCGGUCGGCAGGUGUGUGAUGAAGGACACUAAGCCCACUGCUUGUGCCCCACCUCCCUGCACAUCCCCAGAACACAAAGGCCUCCUAAUUCACUUGGCCCAGGAGGACAAUUAGCCCCGGGAGAUCCAAACUCCCCACCACCCUUUGGCCCGCAGGCAGGGACGACUCGGCCCCUGCUGUCACCCUGGCCUUGGCCAACUUCUCCACCACAGUCUGCCAUCUUUCUUUGCCUUCUUGGCAGGCCUGGGCAUGGAUUUCCAGGUCUCCCAGUAAAUCUCUCCCCAACACCCUAAUACCAGCGCAAGGUGGAAAUAAGGGGGCUCUGGGGAAAGAAAACCCCACCCAGAAUGGUACCCAAGGUCUUCCUCCAUGGCUACCCAGGGACCCCUACAUUCGUGUGUCCCCCUGGUCAAGAAUCUGUCUUCUCCCACUUUGGUCUCUGUUGGUUUCCUUUUUUCCCCUGGAUUAGGCCAUGGAGAGAAGUGAAAAGGGGAACCAAAAAGGCAGUGUCUUCCGGGCCGCAGUCUUUGUAAGUGCAGUGGUGAAUCCACUAGGUCUCUUUAAUGUCUUUAGGGGUCGCACACGCACACAGACCAGAACAAGGCGGGGAUCCCCGAGGUGAGGACAAGGAGCUGGGACUGGGAGGUGCGCAUCCCGGUGUCUCUUCUGCCCGGCUGCCCACGCUGGGCCGGGCUGGUGAAAGGGGUAUUUACAGAGCAGGGACUCGGUUCUUAUCUCGGGGCGCCAGGUCCUUAAACCAGAGACCUUCCAAAUUUCCUUCCAAAAA